rnacentral:rRNA from 1 species
AUACGGGGGGUGCAAGCGUUAAUCGGAAUUACUGGGCGUAAAGCGCGCGUAGGCGGUUUGCUCAGUCGGAUGUGAAAGUCCAGGGCUCAACCUUGGAACUGCAUACGAUACUGGCAAACUAGAGUGUGAGAGAGGAUAGUGGAAUUUCCGGUGUAGCGGUGAAAUGCGUAGAUAUCAGAAGGAACAUCAGUGGCGAAGGCGACUGUCUGGCUCAACACUGACGCUGAGGUGCGAAAGCGUGGGUAGCAAACAGGAUUAGAAACCCUAGUAGUCC